UGUUUAUCAUCUAAAAGUUGUCUUUUGUAUUCUAUUUAAUUGUUUGAAUGCAUAGAUCAUGAGUUUUUGAUCAGAUAUUAGUCAACACUGCAUUUUAUAAUGAUACACUGAAAUUUGGAUUUGUCGAAGAAAUUAGACUGAAAUUGCCGUAGGAUAUGGCCUUACAUUAUAGUGAUUUUCUCUGAAACUAUAGAUCUGACUGAGACAAAACUUGGCAGUUAUGCUUGAAAUAACUUGCAAUUGGAGGGAAAAAAAUUACAUUAAGUUUAUUUGACAUUUAGGUGUUCUUUAGGUGUAAUACCACCAAAUCAUGAUACGCCACAUCCGGUUGCAUACGAAAGUAGGUCUAAAAAAAUAUUCCCUUGAAUUUGACAGUUGUAGAAAAUUAACCCUGCAUUUCAAUGCACUUAAAUUUUUCUGAGUCAUAAACAUGUAUGUUGGGUGUCUGAAAGCAUCAUUCUUUUUUUAUUUGAUGGUCUUAUAAAA
rnacentral:lncRNA from 1 species